rnacentral:rRNA from 1 species
AGAGUUUGAUCAUGGCUCAGAACGUACGCUGGCGGCACGCCUUAUACAUGCAAGUCGAACGAAGUAGCAAUACUUAGUGGCAGACGGGUGAGUAACAUGUAGGUAUCUUCCCUUUGGUGAGGAAUAACACGAGGAAACUUGUGCUAAUACCUCAUAAGUCUUUACGGAGAAAGCUUUAUGCGCCGAAGGAUGAGCCUGCACUUGAUUAGUUUGUUGGUGGGGUAAUGGCCUACCAAGACUUUGAUCAAUAGCUGAUCUGAGAGGAUGAUCAGCCACAUUGGGACUGAGACACGGCCCAAACUCCUACGGGAGGCAGCAGUAGGGAAUAUUGCACAAUGGAGGAAACUCUGAUGCAGCGAUGCCGCGUGAGUGAAGAAGGCCUUUGGGUUGUAAAGCUCUUUCGUCGGGGAAGAAAAUGACUGUACCCGAAUAAGAAGGUCCGGCUAACUUCGUGCCAGCCGCCGCGGUAAUAC